rnacentral:rRNA from 1 species
GACGAAGGUGGCGAGCGUUGUUCGGAAUCACUGGGCAUAAAGCGCACGUAGGCGGCGACGUAAGUUGGGUGUGAAAUCCCUCGGCCCAACCGAGGAACUGCGCCCAGUACUGCGUUGCUUGAGGAUCCAAGGGGUGCAUGGAAUUCCCGGUGGAGCGGUGAAAUGCGUUGAUAUCGGGAGGAACUCCGGCGGCGAAAGCGGUGCACUGGUGGAUUGCUGACGCUGAGGUGCGAAAGCCAGGGGAGCAAACGGG